AGCUUUGCGCAGUGGCAGUAUCGUAGCCAAUGAGGUUUAUCCGAGGCGCGAUUAUUGCCAAAGAUAAGUUGCAGGUGAGUCAGGCUUCAGUCAAUGUAACAUAUACUUACUGAUUUUAUGUGCCCAACAAGGGU